rnacentral:rRNA from 1 species
AUACAGAGGGUGCGAGCGUUAAUCGGAAUUACUGGGCGUAAAGCGCGCGUAGGCGGUUUGUUAAGUUGGAUGUGAAAGCCCCGGGCUCAACCUGGGAACUGCAUUCAAAACUGGCAGGCUAGAGUAUGGUAGAGGGAAGUGGAGUUCCGGGUGUGGCGGUGAAAUGCGUAGAUAUCCGGAGGAACAUCAGUGGCGAAGGCGGCUUCCUGGACCAAUACUGACGCUGAGGUGCGAAAGCGUGGGGAGCAAACAGGAUUAGAAACCCCGGUAGUCC